CAGGGAGACAACAAAAUGUUUAAUAUUAUUAUUUUGUCACCUUAGGUCGAUCGGUAUCUCACAUUCUUAAUUUAUUAAGGAUUUCAUUUCCUAAGUUUUUCUAGGUCACACCCAUUAUUUUUCCUGGGCCAUUAGCUCAGGUGGUUAGAGCGCACCCCUGAUAAGGGUGAGGUCCCUGGUUCAAGUCCAGGAUGGCCCAUAUCUCUAUGUUGGGGGUAUAGCUCAGUUGGUAGAGCGCCUGCUUUGCAAGCAGGAUGUCAGCGGUUCGAGUCCGCUUACCUCCACUGAUUACCACCUCUUCCAUAAUCUGUAGAAAGGAAAAUUUUUGAGUUGUGAUCAUUAAUCUGAACGAAUCUAGCUUCCUAAUGAAACAUUAAGAUGCUGGACUCAUUGAAUUAAUUUCAUUGUUUUCAGAGAACCUUGACAACUGCAUAGAUUAUUUUUAAAGACAAUAAGCAUCUUUAUGAUGCAGAUUUAUUAUUUGUGCGAAUGCAUUAAUAACAAUUCUAUUAAGCUGAUGCUUCAAUUUUGAAGUUAUU
rnacentral:tRNA from 1 species